ensembl:lncRNA
CUUUAAAAAACAUGACUCUAACAUUUCAACAUUAAGUGUACAUGUAAUAAGUAGAAAUACAUUUUAGGAAAUAUCUCUUGGGAUAACAAAAGACUUCAAAAAUACAAUAAUUCCCUUGAUGCACUUCGCUUUUAAAAUGGACCUUUUUUCCCCUUUAGAAUAGUUACAGAUUUAUAGAAAACUCAUGAAGCUAAUACAGAGAAUUUUCAUCUGCCCGCACAGCCAGUCUCCCCUGUUAUUAUCAUCUUAUGUUGGUAUGGAACAUUUAUCAAUAUUGAUCAUUACUAUUAACUAAAGUUCGUACUUUAAUUCCUUAGUCAAAGUCCCUUCAUUUUUACCCCAUGUCUUUUCCUACCCCAGGGUCCCAUCUAGGAUAUCAUUACAUGAAGUGAUCGCGUCUCCUUUGGCCCUCACUGGCUCUCACAGUUUCUCAGCCUCCCCUAGUUUUGAUGACCUUGACAAUUUUGAUGAAUAUAGUGAUCCUAUUUUGGAAGACACUUUGAGAUGGAGAGUUCUUCCUGUCUCUCUGGAGUAUCGCUGAGUUUGCUCACACAAAGCCCCUUUGAAGGAUAUGGCUGGUAGUUUCCAGUCCAUCUGUGAUGCUUUGUGCUGUUUACACGUGUUUCCAGCUCUCUGCCUUCUGAACACAAAGCAGAACAGACUUUCCUACCCACCGAAUGUUGAGCAUGGCCAUGCCGCUUGCUUGGGCUCAUGGAAUGGAAGCAGAAGAGACGGCUCCUUUCUGCCUUACUGCCCCCUCCUGCCACAGGGAGCAGUCACACUCCAGAUGUUCCUGGCUCUGCCACCUUGUGCCCCUGUGUAAAGACAACAUGGAAAAGAGCCGCCAGCACAACUCAAGAUGAGCAUGGAUUCACUCUCUAGGUUCCAGCCCCUAACAACCAGAAGUGCCAUGGGCUGAUGCACCAGGAAACAACGUCAAGCAAAGAGAGAGGGGAAUGGGAGGAUAAAGUCACCUCUCCUGUGCUCCAGGAUAAAGUCACCGCUCCCGUGCCCCCGGGAACCAGGAGGCAUUCGUCUGUCCAUGGACAUUUAGCUUGCUUCCCUGGUUUGGCUGUUGUAAAUAGUGCUGCAAUGAAUAUUGGGAUGCCUGUAUCCUUUCAGACCAUGUAUUUCUCUGGGUACAUGCCCAGGAGUGGGGUUGUGGGACCCUAUGGUAGCUCUAUUUUUAGCUUUUUUGAGGCACCUCCAUACUGUUUUCCGCAAGUGCUAAGAUCUCAUGCACAGGUCCAACCAGACUUCCUGUGUCUUCGUGUGCAAAUUCUAAGUGUGUUGGUAUGAAGCAUGAGGCAGAAAGUUGGGCUGUGCUAUUGUUACCAACCAGGAUUCUUGGCCUCCCUCCAUAAUCAAUAGAAAUUGAUCAGAGGCCAGACAAGAAAUUCAAGCAAGGCUUUGUUGAGGCCUCUGCUUCAGUGGUGGAGCAAGAACAAACAUGUUCCCUUGCUUGCCCGCUCACUCUUUAAGGGGUGGACAGAUAGCUGGUUCCUUUGUGGACCCCUCUAUCAAGGUCACAAGUGUGGAGCCUUGUACCAAGGUCACAGAUGUGUUGGAGCCCUGUACCCAGGUUCCGGACAAAAACGUCCAGAACUGACAGAGCCGCAGAGCAACUGUUGCCACGAGCCCUGCC